AGAGUUUGAUUAUGGCUCAGGAUGAACGCUGGCGGCGUGCUUAACACAUGCAAGUCGUAACGGAGUUUUUAAACGGAAGUUUUCGGAUGGAAGUUUAGAAACUUAGUGGCGGACGGGUGAGUAACGCGUGGGUAACCUGCCUCAUACAGGGGGAUAACAGUUAGAAAUGACUGCUAACACCGCAUAAUAUAGCGAAACCGCAUGAUUUUUGCUAUCAAAUAUUUAUAGGUAUGAGAUGGGCCCGCGUCUGAUAAGCUAGUUGUGGGGUAAAAGCCUACCAAGGCGACGAUCAGUAGCCGGCUUGAGAGAGUGACCGGCCACAUUGGGACUGAGACACGGCCCAAACUCCUACGGGAGGCAGCAGUGGGGAAUAUUGGACAAUGGGGGAAACCCUGAUCCAGCGAACCGCCGCGUGAGUGAAGAAGUAUUUCGGUAUGUAAAGCUCUAUCAGCAGGGAAGAUAAUGACAGUACCUGACUAAGAAGCCCCGGCUAACUACGUGCCAGCCGCUGC
rnacentral:rRNA from 1 species